rnacentral:lncRNA from 1 species
CUAAUUUCCUAUACAUCCCAGGCCACCGUUUAAUGCAGAAAACUGCUUUAGUUACCGGUACCCCCAUGAUCGCUAGUCCAGCCACUCUCACCACCACUGUUCCAGCCUCUGCUCACCACAAAACCUCCUCUGUGACCAAAACCACCACCCUGCCCAUCAAGCCCCAAAGUGGGCUCAUUAGACCCCCUACUUUCCUACACAUGCCAGCCCACCGUUUAAUGCAGACAACUGCUUUAGUUACUGGUACCCCCAUGAUCACUAGUCCAGCCACACUCACCACCACUGGUCCAGCCUCUUCUCACCACAAAAUCCCCUCCGUGACCAAAACCACCAUGCUGUCCAUCAAGCCCCAAAGUGGGCUCAUUAGACCCCCUAAUUUCCUACACAUGCCAGCCCACCAUUUAAUGCAGAAAACUGUUUUCGUUACCGGUACCUCCAUGAUCACUAAUCCAGCCACACUCACCACCACUGUUCCAGCCUCUGCUCACCACAAAAUCCCCUCCGUGACCAAAACCAACACCCUGCCCAUCAAGCCCCAAAGUGGGCUCAUUAGACUCCCUAAUUUCCUACACAUGCCAGCCCACCGUUUAAUGCAGAAAACUGCUUUAGUUACCGGUAGACCCAUGAUCACUAGUCCAGCCACACUCACCACCACUGCUCCAGCAUCUUCUCACCACAAAACCCCCUCCGUGACCAAAACCACCACCCUGCCCAUCAAGCCCCAAAGUGGGCUCAUUAGACCCCCUAAUUUCCUAUACAUGCCAGCCCACCGUUUAAUGCAGACAACUGCUUUAGUUACUGGUACUCCCAUGAUCACUAGUCCAGCCACACUCACCACCACUGUUCCAGCCUCUGCUCACCACAAAACCCCUUCCGUGACCAAAACCACCACCCUGCCCAUCAAGCCCCAAAGUGGGCUCAUUAGACCCCCUAAUUUCCUAUACAUGCCAGCCCACCAUUUAAUGCAGACAACUGCUUUAGUUACUGGUAACCCCAUGAUCACUAGUCCAGCCACACUCACCACCACUGGUCCAGCCAAUCUAUCUUCCUCACAGCCUAUGAGUGGUUUGGGGGUAAACAGAGUGGCCAGCACCAGCUCAACAACUACAACUACCACCACCACCACCACAACU